rnacentral:rRNA from 1 species
UAAUCGAUGGGGGGACGCAGUAGGAUAGGCGAAGCGUGCGAUUGGAUUGCACGUCUAAGCAGUAAGGCUGAGUAUUAGGCAAAUCCGGUACUCGUUAAGGCUGAGCUGUGAUGGGGAGAAGACAUUGUGUCUUCGAGUCGUUGAUUUCACACUGCCGAGAAAAGCCUCUAGAUAGAAAAUAGGUGCCCGUACCGCAAACCGACACAGGUAGUCAAGAUGAGAAUUCUAAGGUGAGCGAGCGAACUCUCGUUAAGGAACUCGGCAAAAUGACCCCGUAACUUCGGGAGAAGGGGUGCUCUUUAGGGUUAACGCCCAGAAGAGCCGCAGUGAAUAGGCCCAAGCGACUGUUUAUCAAAAACACAGGUCUCUGCUAAACCGUAAGGUGAUGUAUAGGGGCUGACGCCUGCCCGGUGCUGGAAGGUUAAGAGGAGUGGUUAGCUUCUGCGAAGCUACGAAUCGAAGCCCCAGUAAACGGCGGCCGUAACUAUAACGGUCCUAAGGUAGCGAAAUUCCUUGUCGGGUAAGUUCCGACCCGCACGAAAGGCGUAACGAUUUGGGCACUGUCUCAACGAGAGACUCGGUGAAAUCAUAGUACCUGUGAAGAUGCAGGUUACCCGCGACAGGACGGAAAGACCCCGUGGAGCUUUACUGUAG